AAAUAAUGUUGUCAUUUUCACUAAGAUAUGAUUUUCAUGUUUAUAACAGGAAUUUAAUUACAGGUUUUACUGUAAAUAAUAAAAGCAACUGCCUUUAUAUUGAAGUGUAUAUAUUUACUGUACAUAUCAUAUUUCAGUAUAAGACCACAUUAGAAUGAAAUAUUCCAUUCUGAUGCUAUAAAUGACAUUGUAAAAGUUAAGUUGCAUUUAUUUGUUUGUUUGAUUGUAUAAGUUAACACAUUAUUUGAGCAAACAAAGUCUUAGAAGAGGAAAAAACAUUCCAUCUUUCUUUUGUAUAUGUAACAUACAUGUACAUAUAUUUCUGAAUAUGUGUACUAACUUGUAAGCUGUUAGACAGACAGUUUUUUAUGGUGCUUAUUUUCAUGUUUUAUUCUUUGUUUUACUUAGUUAUAGUUUUGAAAGAAAACUUGUUUCUUGAUGCACAGCAUUGUAUUACUUAGAAUGAUGAACAUCCUGAUAUUUUAGGACAUUAUUCUGUUAUUCACUCAAUCUUCUUUUAUCCCUCUGUUUUCUCCUGGUACUCUUGCUUCUCAUCAAUAGAAACAGGCCGCCACGAAAUAGCCUAAAAGUGGUGCUUAAAAGAGGAGUUAAAACAAAUCAAAUUAAAUCUUUUAUCCCUCCAAGCUGAAUUCGAACAAAAUUUAUCCUUCUUAAUUUUCUAUAAAAAGUAUAUAUAUCUCUCAAAAUUAUCAGUUCCUUAAAUAUUAAACCUAGAAUUUGUAGAUAUAUCUUUUAUGUCUUCCAGGCAUAUGUUGGUGUAUCAAAAAAAUGUCUUUCAUUACAGCAUUUUAAAUGUGAUUGAUUUUAUUUGUAAAACUACAUUUUACUGUACUAAUUGUUAGACAGAUUUUAAUCAGGAUGAAACUUUUUCCUUCUAACUGAUGUUAUUCUAUUUCUUCAGAGUAAGGUGAACAAUAAAUGUUGAUGAAAGAAGUAAAACAGUUGCAAUUUAAUUUGUUUGGACAAUUUGUUUUUCCUUUUCAAUCAAUCAAUAAGGAUAUUUAUAUUGAAUUUAUCAGAAUUUGGAAUUUUUUUUAUAAUUAUACCUGUUUUGCAAAAUUAGAAAGUAAUCUUAUUGCCAAAUCUGUGAAGAGUUGUUUUUGAGUGAACAUUUUGGAUGUUAAAUGAGUGAAAAAAAGUCCUUGGAACUAUCUAGUGACACACAACACUUUUCUUUGCUCUAAAGCAUUUAAAUUUUGUUAAGAAUGCAUAUACUGUUAUAUUAACUGCACUCUUAAAGAAAUGUAAAGAAAACCUCAUUAAUGCAUUUAUUUCUCUGUGAUUUUAUAUAUUAUGUACUAUUAAUUAUUAAGCUUAGUUGUUAUUAGUUACUGAGUGAUUUUGUUUUUGUUUUGUGUUAAAGAUAAUAUAUAAAGACUGUCAAAGCCUUGUGAUCUAUUUCUGUCUGUGAUAACAUUAUUUUCUUGUUCAGCCGUCCACUGUUAACAAAGAAAACCAAUUUGCAUUUAUAUUUCAUAUAGAAAUUGUUAUUCCCUUGUGUACAAUUUUUGUUAAAAUGUACCCAGCAGCUUUAAUAUGGUGUUGUAUAAACAUUAUAUACCUCAUUCAAACAUUUCUUGGCAUUGAACUUGCAUACAUGUAACAUUACUUUUGUUUUCAACUCAAGGUUUCCUUAUUUCACACCCUUUUUGCCAGGGAAAAAGUAAUGUUUGAAGUGUAUCUGUAAGUUCUAAAAUCUCAUCACUUUCCUCAAGAAUUAAAUCUCUAGGAAAUAACAUUGAAACAGCAAAUACUAUCAGAUCCUUAUCGCUGCUUUGAUAAAUCAUGAUGUCCUUUCAAAAUAAUUUCAUUUAGUCAACCAACUGGUAAUACCUUGAAUAUUAUGACUUAAUGGUGAUAACAUGUAUGCAACUAUUAAGCUUCAGUUAAACCUGCAGAAAGUUUUAUUUAAUAUAUCAAGUCAAUUCUGUUAGUUUUUUAAUAAAAGGAUUACAUCAAAAUUUAACCCUGAGCUAAAUGCCUAGAAUUAAGUUAGUCAGUAGACAUGUUUAUUUUGUUCAAAUAAAUUACUGUCAUCAGAAUUUUACCUGUCUAUUCAUGCAUUUGGGAUCAUAGUUACAAUAGUAAAUUGAUUGCUGUCAUAUUCAUCUAUUAAUUAAGUACAAGAGUCUUUCAGAAACAAUUACAAAAGAUGAUCCCAAGUUUGAUUUUUCAGAAAAGGCAAUGCAAUUGACAUAGUACCAGAAUAUUUCAUUGUUUUCAUACUAAUCUAUAAAUCAUAAAUAUUUAACAAUAAUUCUUUUCAAAUAUCAAAUUAUUUAGUUCUAUUUAUUGGUACUGAAAUUAAAAGUCUGAUUGUGACAGGAGACUAUUAUUAUGUAUUGUUGUCAAACAUGUUGUAUAUGUUUGUAUGAUUCAGAUGAAAUAAACCAGUAUUUCUAAAUAUAUUUUGGUGAAUGGCUUACAGUAAGUAAUAAACCAUGCUAAU
rnacentral:lncRNA from 1 species